CGAUACCUGAAAUUGUAAUGAUUAGGAAUGCUUUAUUCCUACUAGGUAGUUAGGUUGGUAGGUAGGUAGCCAACCACGUACUUGUUACUUGGUGAAUAACAAAAGUGGCUCCAUACAACAGUAAAACAGCUCCAUGAAAUUUUGCAUGCUUAGCUACGUAGUAGUUGCAUUAUUUCAAUCUAUCGUUCAUGUAUACAUAGGCACUUCAAUAGAGAUUAGCUUAUAUCUACGUACCUAACACUUAAUAUUUUCUUGAUUAUGUUUCAAGAUAAAAAGUUUAUUUUUCAUGCAAUUUUCCAUAAAUAGAUAAAAAAGAAGUGAAAUAAUAAAUUUAAAUAAGUACGAAUUCUCUGCUGAGUGAUAUCCAAUAAUCCAAGGAAUAAUAGAGUCCUUGGUGAGAUCCCUGCAAACACUUAGCGCGGUCGCCUCACGGCCUCAGCCACCUCGUGACCUCAGUGUUUGCUGAGAACGUGAAAGAGGGAGGAGGUGCAUUUUCUUGAAAUGCCCGUAACCCCUGUGUAACUACAUAUACAUAUACUCGUGUUCUGAUACAAUGGUGUGCCCCUCAAAGUGUUCACUACUGUCUGCUGUGCUUUCUCACCAAGUGACCAAGAGGAACGCUGCCAAACAGAGAAAUCGCGCGUGAACAAGUAUCAGCACAAAUAGAAAAAAAAAUGAAGCUGCCACACCUUUCACAGCCGAGGGCCGCCCACACAGGGUCGUCAGUGAGCUCUUCUGCAAUUAAUAGAGCAGCCAGUCUCAUAUGGAUGGCUAUAUUUGUACACUCCAGUUGAUUGACAGUCUCAAGUGAAGGAUGGGGGCAAGAUGUGGCAGGGUAACAUCCCAUGGAAUACACCCUUGAUCUCUGAGAUAAAUAUACUUUAUAUCUGCUUUUGUUAUGUUCUAUUAUACUUUUAUGCAAUAUUUGUUAAUUAUAAAUACCUCUUUUACCUAAAACCUCGUAAAAAGAAUUUGGGGUAUUUUUUGGAAGGCAUUUAAACUAAUUUCAAUGUGGAAAAUUUAUUGAGUUACAAGUAAAUUGAGAUGUGAGGUCCGUCACGGAACGAAUUAAAAUCGUAUCUCGAGGUACCACUGUAUUAUAUUGCAAGAAAGGUUUUAAUCAUUAAUUUUCAUAAACAAAUGAUACCUCUAAAAAUGCCUCCUAUACUUGUGUACUAAUGAUAAAAUGUAACUUAAAAUUAAAUGAACUACAAAAA